rnacentral:rRNA from 1 species
UACGGGGGGAGCAAGCGUUGUUCGGAUUUACUGGGCGUAAAGGGCGCGUAGGCGGCGUGACAAGUCACUUGUGAAAUCUCCGGGCUUAACUCGGAACGGUCAAGUGAUACUGUCGUGCUAGAGUGCGGAAGGGGCAACUGGAAUUCCUGGUGUAGCGGUGAAAUGCACAGAUAUCAGGAAGAACACCAAUGGCGAAAGCAGCUCUCUGGGACGGUACUGACGCUGAGACGCGAAAAGCGUGGGGAGCGAACAGG